UUGUAAAAGGACCUGUUAAAGGUUAUCACUUUGAACCUGUCUCCGUCUUCUUCCUUUUUUUAUUAGCACAAUAUUAUUGCCUAUAGAUAUAACAACUUGUAUUCCGCAUUAUCGCUAUUUCUUGGUUUUGUUUACGAUUUCCAGAGGAUUACGAGUGUGGCCCGUAGCCGUGCCUGCCUGCCGUUUUAAUUAGCUUUUUAAUUUGGUGGGCCUUCCUUUAAGUGAUGGUACUGGUCCAGCACAUCGCACCAUUAAUAUCAUGCUGGCCAUCACUAAUACUUUACAUAUUAAAGGAGCACAAGUCUCUUAAGAAUCAACUCGCGGCAGGGCGGCCAUCCGGCGCAUGCGUAUGUGCGUCGUUCUCAUUCCCAG